AGAACAGUCAAAAACGUACUUUUGAGCGCUACGGAUAAAGGAAAGGAAAACGGAUACAGAGAAGCACGGGCGACGGUGACGAAUAUAGCGUCAGCAAGGCAACGGCCCAGCUUCCUCCUCUGGUCCUCCCUCUUCUUCUUCCCUGUAGUAGGCGAAAUUGAAAAUGGUGGAGCUUUCUCUUACUCUGAUAAAGCCCAUUGCCUCGUUACAACAAAACAAUUAUCCUUCUCUUUCGAACAAAACCCAGUACAAUCUUCUCUCCCUCCAUCAUCCUAGAGGAAGUUCAAUCCCAAAAUCUUUUAAGCCAGCCAAACCAAGAAAACCCAGUAACAAAAUUGGAAAUAGAGAUGGACCCAUGUUACAGAAGGACCAGCUUUCAUAUCGGGACAUAGUAACUGAAAGUGAAGAAGCACAAGAGGAAGAAGAACAAGACGAAGUUGAGGAAGAAGAUGACUAUAGUCAUGAAGCAGCAAGGACGAGGUCGGUUUCUUUAUUAGGCGACGAAGAAGGAGAGGAAGAAGACAAUGAGUCAUCAACUUUCCUAUCCUUGAGUGAAAAGCCUGACCGGAAUACGGCUUGGCUCGACGAUUAUGAGACGGAGGAGCUUGAUUUUGCUAGCGAUACCACUGGCCAUCGUAGUGGAUAUGUGGCAGUGGUGGGGAAGCCAAAUGUAGGAAAAAGUACUCUUUCGAAUCAAAUGGUUGGGCAGAAGCUGUCCAUUGUUACGGAUAAGCCUCAAACCACGCGUCAUCGAAUUCUUGGUAUAUGUUCUGGCGAAGACUAUCAGAUGAUACUUUAUGACACGCCUGGUGUGAUUGAAAAAAAAAUGCAUAAGUUAGACUCAAUGAUGAUGAACAAUGUGCGCAGUGCUGCCAUAAACGCAGACUGUGUGCUGGUGGUUGUUGAUGCAUGUAAGGCGCCCCAAAAGAUUGAUGAAAUUUUAGACGAGGGUGUGGGAGAGCUGAAAGAUAAAAUACCCACUUUGUUAGUUAUGAACAAGAAGGAUCUGAUCAAACCUGGUGAAAUAGCAAAGAAACUUGAGUGGUAUGAGAAAUUUACUGAUGUUGAUGAGGUCAUUCCAGUUAGUGCCAAGUAUGGUCAUGGAGUGGAUGAUGUCAAGGAUUGGAUUUUAUCAAAACUUCCUCUCGGUCCAGCUUUUUACCCUAAGGACAUUGCUAGUGAGCACCCUGAAAGAUUUUUUCUAGCUGAAAUUGUUAGAGAAAAGAUCUUUCUUCAAUACCGAAAUGAAGUCCCUUAUGCAUGCCAGGUUAAUGUUAUUAGUUACAAAACAAGACCAAAUGCAAAAGAUUUCAUUCAAGUUGAAGUUGUUGUGGAAAAAAACUCACAGAAAAUUAUCCUCAUUGGAAAGGAAGGGAAAGCUUUGAAGCUGCUUGCAACAGCUGCUCGGCUAGACAUAGAAGAUUUCUUGCAGAAGAAAGUUUUUCUAGAGGUAACAACAUAACAGCAUCCUUCUUGAUAGUACUCAGCAGUGCUAGAAUGUCAGUGAUGAAGAAGAAAGUCCCAUAUCUUUUAGCUUUCAUACAAGUUCAAGUGAAGGUUAAAGAGGAUUGGAGGCAAAAUGAAGGGCUUUUGAAGUACUAUGGCUAUGGCGGGCAAAUUAGAGCAUUAUGACAUGUCAGACUCAAGUGCUUUUUUUAUUCGCCAUUGAUGAAUAUCUCAUGGUGCUGUUGAGGACGAAAUCCUUGUGUGCAUAGUCUCUCGGCAGCAGAUCGUUUUUUUUUUUUUGAAGUAAUCUGAUGGUAGAGGAGCAUGGCUGACGCCUUUGUAUUUUACUACUACUGUUUUAAUUUGCGACGAUGCUGUCAGUCAGAGCAAGAAUCCUCAGCCGGGGAGUGUAGAACCCAAAAGUGCCCCCAUCGGUAAAUGGUCAAUGCUUUGUGGGUCCGACCAAUACACUUUUUUCUGUUUUUGCAUGCGUCUAAUGGCGCCUUGGAUUAAUCAUCUCGUCGCCUCUAACCUCUUCUGCUUUCUCCGCCCUGAUUAUAAAAUUCUCAUCUUAAAUUGGAUUGAAUAGACGAA